AACGAACGCUGGCGGCAUGCCUAACACAUGCAAGUCGAACGAACCCUUCGGGGUUAGUGGCGCACGGGUGCGUAACGCGUGGGAAUCUGCCCUUUGCUUCGGAAUAACUCAGGGAAACUUGUGCUAAUACCGGAUGAUGUCUUCGGACCAAAGAUUUAUCGGCAAGGGAUGAGCCCGCGUAGGAUUAGGUAGUUGGUGGGGUAAAGCCUACCAAGCCGACGAUCCUUAGCUGGUCUGAGAGGAUGAUCAGCCACACUGGGACUGAGACACGGCCCAGACUCCUACGGGAGGCAGCAGUGGGGAAUAUUGGACAAUGGGCGCAUGCCUGAUCCAGCAAUGCCGCGUGAGUGAUGAAGGCCCUCGGGUCGUAAAGCUCUUUUACCAGGGAUGAUAAUGACAGUACCUGGAGAAUAAGCUCCGGCUAACUCCGU
rnacentral:rRNA from 1 species